UACGUAGGGAGCAAGCGUUGUCCGGAAUCAUUGGGCGUAAAGCGCGCGUAGGCGGCCCUGUAAGUCCGUUGUGAAAGUCAAAGGCUCAACCUUUGAAAGCCGAUGGAUACUGCAGGGCUGGAGUCCGGAAGAGGCGAGUGGAAUUCCUGGUGUAGCGGUGGAAUGCGCAGAUAUCAGGAGGAACACCAAUAGCGAAGGCAGCUCGCUGGGACGGUACUGACGCUGAGGCGCGAAAGCGUGGGGAGCAAACAGG
rnacentral:rRNA from 1 species